CUUAGAUUUGAUUACCUAAAAUUAGGUUUUUAUUUUACCUAUAAUUAGGUAAUGGAUGUUUACUUGAAUAAUCGGUAAAAAUUAACGAUUAUUUUCACUAAUUUUUACCUAAUUUAGAGUAUUGUGUCUUUUCCAGUAACGACGCUAUUUUUUACUUAAAAAUAGUUUAUUAUUGUCUUUGUUAAAAUCGAGUCUACUGCCGGUAUAUUGAGUUGCUGUUCCAGAUGAGGUUCCAGAUUCGGAGAAUUUUCUUGGCGUCUUCUCGGUUGGCCUCUCCAGGCACCUCUUUCUGGCUCUCAGGCUUCCGGAUUUCUUGUAAUUAGAUAUAAAGGCCUUUCCGGCAUAUUUUUAUAUCCGCUUAUUGUGACAUCUGAUCAUCUAGUUCCGUCCCUUCUAGAUGCUAAGAUCUUCUUUCCAGCUGCCGAUUUCCAAAAAUCAAGAAAUCCUAUCAACUUUACCCAAGGUUUUCUGGCUUUUCUUAUGUGCAGUUUCGACAAAACUUUUGUUUUUGGAAACCUUUUAAGCCAUGAAUAUGCAUAUACAGUGCUCCGUAAUUCACCAUCACCUGCAUCAUAUCGUCGGUCCCUUUUUAGAAGUGAUAAAUGUUAUAAUUAUUAUAGAAAAAUAAAAUAUAAAUUGGGUUGGGCUUCCAUUUGUCAUCAAACUGUCACAAUUUCAUCUCUCCAGAAAAUUUGGCAUAUUUGUUCAAAUCUCCCUGGAUAGGAUGAAACUGGCAAUAUGAGACAAAUAAUGGAAUAUUUUUUCCUUUUUUGAUAACAAUAAA